GGAAUCUCGUGGGCAGACAUAUCUGUCUGCGGCAUCUGCACUUCCUGAUUGCGAUCUAUUCUGUGGAUGGAGAUUUCAUUACUGUCUCAGGUCAGCCUGGCAGCUGAUCGACACGGACAUCCUCUCUGGAGGUAUGCCUCUAUGUCGUGUGUGUGCCUAGUGCCGUUAGAAGCCAGAAGAGGGUGUCAGACGCCUGGAACUGAAGUUACAGAUGCCCUUGAGUUGCUAUGUGAGUGCUAGGAGCCAGACCCGGGUCCUCACCAAGUGCUCUUAAACCACUAAACCAUGGCUAAAAGAAACUACCCAAACAACAAAACUAGGCAUAUGAAGGAAAAGCCAUAAUCCCCCAUGAUGAGAUCACCUGGAAUGCAGAACUCCAUCAACAGUGCUACGAGAAGUUUCCAGACGUGUGUGCCAGAGUCUUUAUUUACCUCAUCCUGGCGUAGAAACAGUUCAUGUCCACCACGGUUCACACAAGACACUGCGUACACUCAAAGAUUACCCUCACCAGACGGGGGGUUGGCCUUUGCUCUUGGCCCUGAGAAGAAAUCCCUAAGCUCUGGAAAGUUCUGUCUGGUUAGAGUAUCUUACCUGAGGGCAUAGUGAGCCAUUUGGGGGCAGUUCCUCUCUGAAGGGAAUAGAGGUCAGUCAGACAGUGAUCAUCAUGUCUACACCACACAAGUCUAAACGCUGGACUAGAGAAGGGGUGAACGUCCCCGCUUAGCAGUAUUCACCUGAAGCCUGGAAUCGAUGGGUACAGCCUCACUGGGAGAUAUCGGAAAGCAUGAAGACAUGGAUUCAGAUAUCCAGCAUCCAUGUAAAAGAAGGGCGUGUUGUUCAAAUCUAGAACCCCAGUGCUGGGGGCAGGAACUGAGACAAGCAGGCAGAUCCUGAGAGUUCAGUGGCCAGCCAGUGUGGACAAAAUGGGGAAUCCCAGGUUCAGCAAGAGAGAUCCUGUUUCAAAGCAUAAGAUGGAGAAGGGAUUAAGGAAAACAUCCCAAUCUCAAUGUCAACCCGACUUCCAUAUACACACAGG
ensembl:lncRNA